UUCCGGUUGAUCCCGCCGGACCCUAUUGCUAUCGGGGUGAGACUAAGCCAUGCAAGUCGUGCGCUCCUUAGCCAUGUUUGGAGAGCAGCGAACGGCUCAGUAACACGUAGUCAAUCUGCCCUUAGGACGAGGAUAACCCUGGGAAACUGGGGCUAAUAAUCGAUAGAUGGAAGCGCCUGGAAUGGUCUUCCGUUGAAAAGUUUUCGGGAACAUGCUUCCGAAAGCGCCUAAGGAUGAGACUGCGGCCGAUCAGGCUGUUGGUGGGGUAACGGCCCACCAAACCUAUAACCGGUACGGGCCCUGAAAGGGGAAGCCCGGAGAUGGGAACUGAGACNAGGUCCCAGGCCCUACGGGGCGCAGCAG
rnacentral:rRNA from 1 species